UUAGGGUUUAGUAACCUCCGCCGCCUAAACCCUCACCGUCGCACUCCACCACCGUCAUUCCUACCGAACCUGCCGCCUUUGAAACAGGAUUCCAAUAGCAGAGCAGAAGCAAACUUGAAAGAAGACAUAUGAUUGAUUGUUCCUCAAACCCCUAACCCUAAUUCAUGAUCACAAAACUCUCUCGAUUUCAUGUUAUCUUCUUCAAUCAGGUCAACUUCUUUUCUAUUACACUCCUUAACUCUCCGAUUUAGGUCUAUUUCAUCCUUCCCCCAAUUCAUACCCUCCGAUCACUCUCAUUCAGACUCAUCUUCAGACGAAACAAACACCAAUUCACUCACACAUUCAUCACAAAAACAACUUAACAGGUUUACAGUCACUGAAACAUUACAUAACCUAAGCACACAACCUAGGGUUGCACUCUCAUUCAUCAACCAAUUAAAUCAAUCCGGUUUCAAACAUGAUGUUGUCACCUAUAUGUCUGUUAUUAGACUAUUAUGCCAGUACGGUAUAGAUAUUAAGUUAUACCACAUGUUCAUGGAUGUUGUUCAGGAUACUAAUGAAGAACUUUUUACUUUUAACGUUUCCGAUUUGUUCGGAGCGUUGGUAGAUGAGAUGGUUGAGGAAACUAGGGUUAGGGGAUCGACGAGUUUGGUAAGAGCGGUGGAUGUGUUGGUUAAGGUUUACGCGAGCGUUGGACGGUUUGAUGAGGCGGUGGAUACGUUGUAUGAGGUUAAACGGGGUGGGCUUGUGUUAUCGACGCGUGCGUGUAAUUAUUUACUUAACCAGAUGAUUAGUUGGGAGAAGUUGGAUAUGUUUGAGUCGGUUUAUAAGCAGUUGAAGAGGAAAGGGUUUGUUCCGGAUGUGUAUACGUAUGGGAUUUUGAUUAAGGGGCUUUGUAGAAAGGGGUGUUUGAAUGAAGCGUCGGAUGUGUUUAAAGAAAUGAGUGAGGCGGGAAUGGAUGCUGAUUGUUUUACUUACGGUACGUAUAUUGACGGGCUUUGUUCGAACGGAAAGGCUGAUCUUGGAUUUCAGUUGAUAAAAAGUUUACGCGAGUCGAAUGAGGAGGUGAGUGUUUACGCUUAUACUUCUGUUAUUAGACGUUUUGUUAAAGAGUCGAAGCUAGACGAAGCGGAAAGUGUUUUACUUGAUAUGAAAAGUGCCGGUAUUGCGCCUGAUGUGGUUUGCUAUUGUGCGUUAAUUCAAGGGUAUUGUAAGAAUAGAGACAUCCGUAAGGUGUUAGCUCUUCACGAAGAAAUGGAAUCAAGUGGGAUAAAAACCGAUUGUGUGAUUGUGAGUGCGAUCUUGCAAUGCUUGUGUCAUAUGGGUAUGCUGGAUGAAGCGAUAAGCCGAUUCGUGCGUUAUUCAAAAUCAGGAGUUUUUCUCGAUGAAGUUACGUUUAAUAUCGCGAUUGAUGCUUUAUGUAAACUAGGGGAAAUGGAGAAAGCUGAGCUGUUUCUACAAGAAAUGAAAAAUAGGAAAAUGUUUCCAGAUGUUAUGCAUUAUACGACUUUGAUUAAUGGGUAUUGUCUAAAACAAGAAUCGUCAAUUGCGUUCGAACUUUUUCUGGAGAUGAUCAGGAAUGGAUUGAAACCGGAUGUUAUCACUUACGAUGUGCUUGCUGGCGGGUUGUCAAGAUGUGGGCAUUUUAACGAGACAAUCGGGAUUUUAGAUCACAUGCAGGCUUACGGUUUAGAACCCACGAGUGUUACACAUAGUUUGGUCAUUGAGGGAUUAUGUAAGGGCGGAAAAGUGAUAGAAGCCGAACUCUAUUUCAAUAGUUUAGAACCGAAAAACUUGGAUAUUUAUGCUGCAAUGAUGAACGGGUACUGUGAAGCGAACAAUACUACAAAAGCUUUUGAACUUUGGUUGUCGGAACGCACGCUUGUUACGAAACGGACUUCUUGCCUGAAACUUUUAAGUCGUCUUUGUGCAGAAGAUGAAACCGACAAAGCCUUAGAACUAUAUAAAGCACUUGAUGCAUCGGAUAAGGGUUCUUGUAAGAUAGUGUACAGUAAACUCAUAUCUAUGUAUUCCCGUGUUGCAGAUAUGGGGAUGGCUCGGCGGUUUUUCGAUAAAAUGAUUCAGAAAGGAUUAACACCGGAUGCUGUUACGUACACGAUGAUGUUAAACGGUUAUUGCAGGGUGAAUUACUUGAAGGAAGCUUAUUAUCUAUUCGAUGACAUGAAACAUAGGGGUAUACAACCUGAUAUUAUUACGUAUACGGUUUUGCUUCAUGGAGAGGGUAGACAGAAGAAUGUGUUGAGGAUUUCAAGUGAAAUUGAACAAACGGGUUUGACUCGUGAUGUUUAUUGUUACACGGUUAUGAUCGACAAACAUUGCAGAUGGGAAAACCUACAGGAUGCUGUUAACCUGUUCAAUGAAAUGAUCGACAGAGGUAUUCAACCGAAUACUGUGACGUACACUGCUCUUGUGUGUGGCUAUUGCUCUAUGGGAUAUAGGCAGCAUGCUGUAACACUUGUUAAAGAGAUGAUAUCUAAGGAGAUCGAACCGAACUCACGAACAAUGAUAGCACUAAAAACCAUUAAGGCCAAGAAGCUGAAAUUAAGGCGUUAAGUUCCACCCUAACAACCCUUUGGCUUGACUUCACGCUGCUCUUACAUAAUUUAUAUUUUAGUACCUGGUUUUCUUAUACUAGUUCUCACUCUUGGUUUCAAAAAGCACGAGGCGGUCCGGGGUGUUUAUGUACAACCAAAAGCUGCAUCUCUGUCAUCUCUUUUACAUGUCAGCCUUCUUCAUCAAGUAAACCAUUCAUAAUCUCUUCAACCUUAUGGUUGUUUUUACUUACCAGCCUUCUUACGGCCAUGAGGCUGUUUUUCAUAUAGCCUCUCGACUGAGGCGCACAAUUUAAGUUUUAAAACCGAGUUCUCAUUAUUGACCAAAAAUGAAACUUUGGCAUAGGAAAAAGGACCAUCAAUAUGACAUUGUUUUUGCUUGGAUAGGCUUGUAUCGUGACAAAGCGACUGAAAAUUUGUCGGGAAAGCAAUUAAUGAAAGGUGCAAGGGUCUGGUCUUUUGACUGCUGGAGGCGACUGGUGUACAGGAAGCGCACCCAAGUAGCAGGAGGAAGGGUUGAGGCGUAAGUAGAUUUUGUGCAUCAAGAAGCUGUACAUAGACUUUUAGGUUGUAUGUACAAGUUAUAUAUACAUUAAGUCAUAUAUGGUGCUUAUUUACUUGUAAAAAUUGGAUACGUGAUGAUAGAAACAAAUGAGAAGUGUAUAUAUAUAUAUUUUUUUAUAUAUAAA